rnacentral:rRNA from 1 species
CUCAGGAUGAACGCUAGCUACAGGCUUAACACAUGCAAGUCAGGGGCAGCAUGAACUUAGCUUGCAAGUUGAUGGCGACCGGCGCACGGGUGAGUAACGCGUAUCCAACCUGGCCCUUAGUAGGGGAUAGCCCGGCGAAAGUCGGAUUAAUACCCUAUGUCUUCGAUGCGGACAUCUAAUUUGAAGCAAAGGUUCACCGCUAAGGGAUGGGGAUGCGUCCGAUUAGGUAGUAGGCGGGGUAACGGCCCACCUAGCCUUCGAUCGGUAGGGGUCUGAGAGGAAGGUCCCCCACAUUGGAACUGAGACACGGUCCAAACUCCUACGGGAGGCAGCAGUGAGGAAUAUUGGUCAAUGGCCGAGAGGCUGAACCAGCCAAGUAAGCGUGCAGGACGACGGCCCUAUGGGUUGUAAACUGCUUUUAUCAGGGGAUAAAGUGAGGGACGUGUCCCUUUUUGUAGGUACCUGAUGAAUAAGGACCGGCUAAUUCCGUGCCAGCCGCCGC